ensembl:lncRNA
GCCGCGCUGCCCGGGCCGCCUGUGAUGGCCCGGCCGGGCGGUGGGGGCUCUGGGCCCCCCAGGCUGGGUCCUCCUCUGCGUGUUUGGACACUGUGCAGUGGAGGUGAGCUUUGCUUCACGGGUCAAAAUGUGAGCUGGCCAGGGUGGCUCCAGGGACAGGUUUUUGUUUUUUUUUUAGUAAGUUAUUUGUCUAUCUCUUCUUCCUUUUCUUUUUUAAACUCUUUUGUGCUGUGGUAUUUUUCUUCCCUCGGAACGAUUUUUAACAGCAAAACAGGCCUUACAGCAGUUGCUUUUCUUUUCCACUUAUUUCUUUCAGAAGCUUUAAAAUAUUUAUUGAAAAGUGCCAUAUCUGGUUUCUCCAGCUUUCUCCUUACUUAGGUAGGCAGUGCUGGGCAUCUCUACUUUCCAACCCUCAGAAGAAACAAAUAAACCACUAAGAAAUGUAGCUGAUUUCAGACAGGAAUGACCGGAUCCCUGACCUGUCCCGUGUGGAACACUGAACCCCAGCCUCUGUUUGGCUUUAGGUUUCCUCUGGGCAGUUUUUGCUUUGCGUGCUGGCUUGAUUCUCCUGAGAGCGAGCUUUGCCCUGCUGCGGGGCCUCUUUAGGCUGAGGCAGGGGUGGGGGUCCCCCUUUGCUGGCCCUGUGCCCAGCUGCCGUCACUUCCUCAGGGCCGUGGCACCGGAAUGAGGUGUGUCUUGGCAGAGGGCUUCUGGUGGCACACGUGUGCUGGGCCAAGGGUCCCUGACCGUGGUCGUGGCCAGGAGAAGGUGGGCGUCUCUCUCCCGACGUGCCGCUGGGGCCUGGGGGGUCUUCUGCCUCUGAUGAAGUCAUCUUUGUCGUCACGAAUCCUCUGGGGGAGCCCGCCAUCCGCGGCUCCGGCUUGUGUGAUGGGCUUGUGGGGCUCAGCCUGUGCUCAUCUCCACAGAUGCUUCAUGCACUCUCCAUUUCCAGGGAGCUCAUAUCUCUCCUACAUUUCUUUUCUCUCCCCCUCCAAGCUCUGUGGAAGACUGGGAGCCGUGGAGUCUGGUCUCAUCGUCCCUGCCCCGUUCAGGGUAGGACGGUGGCCAAGUCAGAGGACAGAAGUGGCCCAGGACCCCUGCGCCUUCCUCCCAAGUGUGCUGUCGUCCAGGCAGGCUCCUGGCUGUGGAGAGUGUCUUCUCUUUGGUCCCUCAUGGGGAGGUCUCCACUCCCUCCAGUGUGCUUGCCUGGAGAAUCCCAGGGACGGAGCAGCCUGGUGGGCUGCCGUCUGUGGGGUUGCACAGAGUUGGACACGACUGAAGCGACUUAGCAGCAGCAGCAGGGGCGGUCUCCUGAGCCAGAGGGAGCCAGGAGUGAGCAAGGGAAGGAGGAGACACGUGGGGACAGAGGCCGCUGUGUCACAGUGCCCGCAGAGGACGCUUCAUCACAGGCCAUGGAAGGGCAUGGGCAUGCGCGUUCGCACAUCCUGGGGCUGUUGGUCCCUCCCAGGAGUCCUUCUCUGAUUGAAUUACUUGGGGUGUGAGGGCCACAGGCAGGUCCUUCUGAGGAGAAAGGGAGACCCGGCCCAGUGGCAGUGGGGUAAGCGCCGUCAGCCUCGUUUCAGAUGGCCUUCUUGUCCUCUUGGCUCUCAGUAGGGGCCCCAAGAGCUCAGUCCUGCUGGGGAGGCUUCCUUACACGUGCCAGCUGCUUCUGAUGCAGACUUCAUCCUGUCUGCAUGGGGUGGCCUGUGUCCAGAAGAGGGACCUUGUGCAGCCUCGGACAGCCUCAGGACGCUUGAGCCGCCCACUCUUGCUUUCUUAGCCAAGGGAAAAAUUUGUCAUCUCCAGGCCUCCGAGGUGGUUCUUCCCCUGCCCCCAGGGACCAGGCCGACCCUCCUGUUGUGGCUCCCUGCCUUAGGGAGCUGAGCAGGGGAUCCCGCGGCUCUUCUCUGUCUCUUUUCUCUCCAGCUGGCCGCCGUGCUGCUCCUCUUCGGGUAUUUGGGGUUCGUGUGUGAUGUUUCCUUCGUGGCAGGCCGAGCCGUGUAUUGAGGGUCCACCGUAUGUCGUGUAUGUGGCUCAGAGAGCCCCAUCCCGUGGCCCCUGUACUCUGAACCAUGAGGCCAGGGAGGGAGCUGUUCUCUUGGGGUGGGAGGACUGGAUGGCCCUCUUGGAAAUGGAAUUCUGCUUCUUCGAGAAUACAAUGUGACGUUCCCAGCAUCUGUUGGCAAUACAAGGAUUUCAUGUUUUUUUUUUUUUUUAAGGAAUAUAGUGAGCGUACGUACGUAAGUUGUUAGAAUUGGUACUAGACGUGUACUAGAGGUGAAGGGGCUUCCCAGGUGGCGCAGUGGUAAAGAAUCUACCUGCAAUGCAAGAGACGUGGGUUCAGUCCCUGGGUGGGGAAGAUCCCCUGGAGUAGGAAAUGGCAACCCACUCCAGGAUUCUUGCCUGGAAAAUUCCAUGGACAGAGGAGCCCGGUGGGCUGUAGUCUGUGGGGUCCCAAAGAGUGGCGUGUGACUGCACGUGCGUACUAGAAGUUGAACAGCCAGGCGUUAUUCCAGAGAACUUGGCUUACUAGAAGAAUACCUAAAUCGGAAAGCAUUUUCCAGGAGUUAGCUCAGUUUGUCAGGGCCAGCUGUUUCUGAAUCUUUGGAGAGAUGGCCAGGCCUGCCUCAGACCUGACUCUUCAAGAAGCACAGGGGACUGACUGACUACCCCCCACCCCCCACCCCAUCCCGCUGCCUCCCCUUGCGGUUCAGGGCAAGUGGCCAAGAAGGAAAAGGAGACAAGGCGGCCUUUUCUGGCCAGUGGCUGUCCACAAAAGCUGAGCUGGUAAAGUACUCAGCAGCCGAUGUGUUCAGCCUAGGAAUGAUGGGUUCCAGUCCCAAUCAGGAGUUCUGUUUUAGGCAAAGAAACCAGCCCAGUAAUUCAGUUGAUAAGCUGUUUGUUUUUCUUCUAAGUCUAGAUUUGUAAACAAUGAAUUCAGGGUUAUAGGCAUGUUCUUUAAGUAAGAUUCCUGACAGUUAAUUUGCAACCAGCAGUCCACCUAUGAAUGUAUCCCAGACCUUUAGGAGGCUUGGGGAAGUUUGUUUUUUUUUUUUUUUUAAGAGGAUUUAGUUUUGUAGCAAAAAUAAAUGGAAUUUUAAAAUGCACCCCUUCCCUUGGAAAUUAAUUCAUGUGACUUAGCCACACUUGAAAAACAGUUAUAGUCGGCCCUCCACAGCCAUGGGUUCCUCAUUCUCGGGUUCAUCCAACCUUGAAUCAAAAAUAUUUUGGGGAAAAAUAUUACAGAAAGUUCCAAAAAUCAAAACUUGAAUUUGCCACUUACUGGCAACUCUUUACAUAGUACUUAUAUUAUAUUUACAACUCUUUACAUAGUAUUUUAUUAUAUUAGGUAUUAUAAGUAAUCUGGAGGUGAUUUCAAAUGUGUGUCAUUUUAUGCAAGAGCUGCAUCAGUGGAUUUCGGAUCUCCACCCCGCAACCCUCCAUAUAGAGAGAUGACUGCGGUGGGUCCAGGAGAACUACAAAUGACCAUCAAGUAGAAGUCCAGAUUAUCUAGUGGGGUAUUUUGAAUACUCUUGUUUUAAACUCAUUUUGCGUUCACUGUAAACUUUGGUUUGGACGGAAUUUUGAAUUGAAAAGAUUUACCACUACUGAGAAUUUUUACCCAGCUUUUUACAUUGUUGUGACGGUAUCUUCCAGGUAUGAAUGAAGCAGGACUCUGUGAUUGUGAUCCUCCAUGUACCCCUGUAGUGCCAAAACCAGUGAGAUUUUAUUUGCUCCUAUGGCAGCUCGUAGCGAUAAGACAAGUGUUUUUUCCUCAUGAAUUAAAACACAUAUUCCCUAAAUGCCAGCAUAUGGAGAUGGGCUUUGCACUGCCCUUUCCAGGAGUGUCUUUGGAUUGUCUGGAGCCUGGGCAAUUCUGAGAACUCCUGCAAGCCCACUACAGGACACUAAAGAAAUAUACACACAGACGUGUGUGUAUAUGCAGUGGAUUCUACAGCUGUGGGCUUUUCUGGACAUCCACAGAAACGCGUUUCCUUCACUUGCAAAGUUUACAUUUUGAAGCUCACAGUUACAAAAAAAUAGGGCCCAUUAGCUCAUGCUUUUCAGGCAGAUGUGGAUGGGUCUUUUUUUUGCAAAUGGAGGAGUCCUGUCUUGAGCCCUGGGAAUUUCUGCUGUGGGUUGGGCGCGGGCUCAUUCCUGGAUUCUCCCAAUCAUGUUCGCAUUCGAAUGUUGUUAGGUAGCAUUGUAAAUAAAAGAAUAGGUUAUAUAAUAGAGAUACGACACUUGAAAUUUUACUUUAAGAAAUCUGUAGCACUACAUAUAUAUUUAGUUAUAUCACCCGACGGAUUUCUUCUGCACAGUGUGGAGAUUGUUUUAUACCACAGAUUAUUUUUAUAAAGUCCAGUGAGUUUGAGUAAGAAUGAUUUUGUAAUCAGAGCCAUGAGCUUUACCUUUCAAGAUAAGUGUACACUGGAGUGUGAGUGGUGUGGGACCCAACCCUCGGCCCUUCCCUGCUCCCCAUCAGAGAGCGUCUGUCUGCCCUCCAGCCGCGCGCCUUGGAUGCAAUUGCCGUGCCUUUGUUUUCGCCACCUGCCUCCCCCCAAAAGCAACUGCUGUAAGCUUUUUUCUACUUGUCUUUUCUAGCCAGAAAUCCCUCCUUUUUCCUUUUUCCCAGCUGUAUUUUCUGGAUGCAGUUCUGUGCUCCAGGCGUGUUAAGAACCAGUUACCUCAGACCUCGUGUUGGAACAGUGUCACCAUCUGGGUCCUCUCGAAACUGCAGGCUUGCGACACGCACACUCUGACACACACACACACACACACAGACACACACACACACAGGAACCCUGCCGAGUAUGGGUACUUGUUUGUUUUAAAGUAAAACUCUUCCCAAGGAUUGGAAAAAGGGGCUUCUGGCAAGCUCUUCACGGCCCUGUGGUGGGAUGGGUCUUGAGUGUCAUCUGAACGGUGCUUCCCGUGUUCCAUUCUGAAUUCUGCCGUUUUCAGUAUUCUCGGCUCUGAAUAGGCAAAGUGACUCAGCUGGUUGGCCUUGUUCACAAAUGAGUUCUGAAAAUGAGCUCUUUGUAACACACGUCCAGUCGCUAAAGCUCAAGUGUAGAACAUUCCCUUAAAUGGCAGGAUCGAUCCCCC